rnacentral:rRNA from 1 species
GAUGAACGCUGGCGGCGUGCCUAACACAUGCAAGUCGAACGAAGCACCUUACCUGAUUCUUCGGAUGAAAGUUUGGUGACUGAGUGGCGGACGGGUGAGUAACGCGUUGGUAACCUGCCCUGUACAGGGGGAUAACAGCUGGAAACGGCUGCUAAUACCGCAUAAGCGCACGAGGAGACAUCUCCUUGUGUGAAAAACUCCGGUGGUACAGGAUGGGCCCGCGUCUGAUUAGCUGGUUGGCAGGGUAACGGCCUACCAAGGCAACGAUCAGUAGCCGGUCUGAGAGGAUGAACGGCCACAUUGGAACUGAGACACGGUCCAAACUCCUACGGGAGGCAGCAGUGGGGAAUAUUGCACAAUGGGGGAAGCCCUGAUGCAGCAACGCCGCGUGAGUGAAGAAGUAUUUCGGUAUGUAAAGCUCUAUCAGCAGGGAAGAUAAUGACGGUACCUGACUAAGAAGCUCCGGCUAAAUACGUG